rnacentral:rRNA from 1 species
AUGGCAAGUUCGAAGCGAGGGGAAGUUCUUCGGAAACAAACCUAGCGGCGGACGGGUGAGUAACACGUGGGCAACCUGCCUCAAAGAGGGGAAUAGCCUCCCGAAAGGGAGAUUAAUACCGCAUAAAGUUAUUUUUUCGCAUGAAGAGAUAACCAAAGGAGCAAUCCGCUUUGAGAUGGGCCCGCGGCGCAUUAGCUAGUUGGUGAGGUAACGGCUCACCAAGGCGACGAUGCGUAGCCGACCUGAGAGGGUGAUCGGCCACAUUGGAACUGAGACACGGUCCAGACUCCUACGGGAGGCAGCAGUGGGGAAUAUUGCGCAAUGGGGGAAACCCUGACGUAGCAACGCCGCGUGAGCGAUGAAGGUCUUCGGAUUGUAAAGCUCUGUCUUUUGGGACGAUAAUGACGGUACCAAAGGAGGAAGCCACGGCUAACUACGUGCCAGCAGCCGCGGUAAUACGUAGGUGGCAAGCGUUGUCCGGAUUUACUGGGCGUAAAGAGUAUGUAGGCGGACAUUUAAGUCAGAUGUGAAAUUCCCGGGCUUAACCUGGGAGCUGCAUUUGAUACUGGAUGUCUAGAGUGCAGGAGAGGAAAGUGGAAUUCCUAGUGUAGCGGUGAAAUGCGUAGAGAUUAGGAAGAACACCAGUGGCGAAGGCGACUUUCUGGACUGUAACUGACGCUGAGAUACGAAAGCGGUGGGGAGCAAACAGGAUUAGAUACCCUGGUAGUCCACGCCGUAAACGAUGAAUACUAGGUGUCGGAGGGUACCACCUUCGGUGCCCGCAGCAAACGCAAUAAGUAUUCCGCCUGGGGAGUACGGUCGCAAGAUUAAAACUCAAAGGAAUUGACGGGGGACCCGCCACAAGCAGCGGAGCA